rnacentral:rRNA from 1 species
UGGGGAAUAUUGCGCAAUGGGCGGAAGCCUGACGCAGCAACGCCGCGUGCGGGAUGACGGCCUUCGGGUUGUAAACCGCUUUCAGCAGGGACGAAGCUUUUGUGACGGUACCUGCAGAAGAAGCACCGGCCAACUACGUGCCAGCAGCCGCGGUGAUACGUAGGUGGCAAGCGUUGUCCGGAUUUACUGGGCGUAAAGGAUGCGUAGGCGGAUACUUAAGUCAGAUGUGAAAAUCCCGGGCUUAACUUGGGAACUGCAUUUGAAACUGGGUAUCUAGAGUGCGGGAGAGGAAAGUGGAAUUCCUAGUGUAGCGGUGAAAUGCGUAGAGAUUAGGAAGAACACCAGUGGCGAAGGCGACUUUCUGGACCGUAACUGACGCUGAGGCAUGAAAGCGUGGGGAGCAAACA